rnacentral:rRNA from 1 species
AUGAACGCUGGCGGCGUGCCUAAUACAUGCAAGUCGAGCGAACAGACGAGGAGCUUGCUCCUCUGACGUUAGCGGCGGACGGGUGAGUAACACGUGGAUAACCUACCUAUAAGACUGGGAUAACUUCGGGAAACCGGAGCUAAUACCGGAUAAUAUAUUGAACCGCAUGGUUCAAUAGUGAAAGACGGUUUUGCUGUCACUUAUAGAUGGAUCCGCGCCGCAUUAGCUAGUUGGUAAGGUAACGGCUUACCAAGGCAACGAUGCGUAGCCGACCUGAGAGGGGGAUCGCCCCCCCUGGAACUGGGACCCGGUCCAGCCCCCUGCGGGGGGCAGCAGUGGGAAAUCUUCCGCAAUGGGCGAAAGCCUGACGGGGCAACGCCGCGGGGGUGAUGAAGGCUUUCGGUUCGUAAAACUCUGUUAUUAGGGAAAAAAAAAUGUGUAAGUAACUAUGCACGUUUUGACGGUCCCUAAUCAAAAAGCCCCGGCUAACUACGU